rnacentral:rRNA from 1 species
AUUGAACGCUGGCGGCAUGCCUUACACAUGCAAGUCGAACGGCAGCACGGGAGCAAUCCUGGUGGCGAGUGGCGAACGGGUGAGUAAUAUAUCGGAACGUGCCCAGUAGUGGGGGAUAACUGCUCGAAAGAGCAGCUAAUACCGCAUACGACCUGAGGGUGAAAGGGGGGGAUCGCAUGACCUCUCGCUAUUGGAGCGGCCGAUAUCAGAUUAGCUAGUUGGUGGGGUAAAGGCCUACCAAGGCAACGAUCUGUAGUUGGUCUGAGAGGACGACCAGCCACACUGGGACUGGGACACGGCCCAGACUCCUACGGGAGGUAGCAGUGGGGAAUUUUGGACAAUGGGCGCAAGCCUGAUCCAGCAAUGCCGCGUGCAGGAAGAAGGCCUUCGGGUUGUAAACUGCUUUUGUCAGGGAAGAAAUCCUCUAGGUUAAUACCCUUGGGGGGAUGACGGUACCUGAAGAAUAAGCACCGGCUAACUACGUGCCAGCCGCCGCAGUAA